GUCGUUUUCUUCUUUUCUCUCCCGUCCAUAUGCAAUUAGUAUUGAAUUCAAUAUUUCAAUAGGCGCCAAUUAUAGCGGUAUUUUACGCCUCUUCGAGCAGAAAAUUAGAAGCUGCUAAUUUGUUUUUAAUUCGUAUAGUUCUAGUUUCAAUUCAACGAGCAGCGAGUGUGGGUGAAAGUGAAAAUUAUUUGUUUUUAUUAUCUGAUCGAUUUUUGGUAGUUUAAAAACAAUAAAUAUGGAUCAGACAAAUAUGGAUAGGGUUCUUUCAGAAACAUAAUCUUUAUUUAAAAAGUGGGAAUUAUGUGACGAUGUGUGCACUCUAUUAAAAAUGCAUUAAUUCAUCACAUUCCAAAUAUUAAAAAAAUGGAAAUUGAAGAUGAGUUUACGCUCUUCAAUAAAUUUGAAAAUAAGUUCUUCGGUGAAAUGAUAAAAUUCAAGGCAAGGCUCAGAGAAUGGCGAAUAAUUGUGAGCAUCUACACCCUCUGCACAGUUGCCACCUGUCGCUUCAAUACACAAAAAUAUACUUAUUGACCUAUUAUUGACCUGGGGCAGAUGGUGUUAGCGUACAGCGAAAAACAUGAUUAUUUGGACGCAAGAAAACCAAGUACACUAACUCAUUGCAUUGUGAACAGUUAUGCUGCUAAUGCUGUGAAAAUCACAUACUCCGAAAAGCAAAAAUGGGCUAAAGCUAUCAGCGAAGUUUUCCCGAAAGAAAAAGCGGAAACAUAUAUAUAUACCGCGAAAAUAUGACAAGAAACAAUCCUUCAGGCAAAUUAUUUUCAUGCUAGACAAACGUAACUAAAGCUCACAUCAAAACUUGUUUUAGGAGAGUAGGAGACCAUUUCAUCAAUUUCAUCUGAUGAAUAUUGCAAAAGAAAGUGUUGGCUACAUCACAACUGCAGUCCAUGGGAACAAAUAAUAAUGUAUUGGAAACCGACAUCGCAGGCGAGAGUUACGGAAAUUAGGGAAAUCGCUUCCUUAAAUGGCAUUUUUUGGGAGUGGCCACGGUAUAACGACUACAGUGGAUGUAAUCUCGUACUUACUUUACUUACGAUAUAUGUAUAUUACAAUACAUUUUAUAUUGAGUAUUUCGUUCUCUUCAUUUUAGUUAAACUUUCAAGCUCUGCGAAAUAUAAUUUUCCUUCAUUCAUAUUAGAAAUUGAUUUUGUAAGCUUAUACCCAGGCAAAGUGAACUUUUUAAUCUUAAAAUUGGAAUAUCUCUAUAAGAAAAAUAUUGGAUAUUUUUGAAAAAGAAAUAAAGAAUCGUCCUUCCAGAGAAUUGUACU